GACGAACGCUGGCGGCGUGCUUAACACAUGCAAGUCGAACGGAAAGGCCCUGCUUUUGUGGGGUGCUCGAGUGGCGAACGGGUGAGUAACACGUGAGUAACCUGCCCUUGACUUUGGGAUAACUUCAGGAAACUGGGGCUAAUACCGGAUAGGAGCUCCUGCUGCAUGGUGGGGGUUGGAAAGUUUCGGCGGUUGGGGAUGGACUCGCGGCUUAUCAGCUUGUUGGUGGGGUAGUGGCUUACCAAGGCUUUGACGGGUAGCCGGCCUGAGAGGGUGACCGGCCACAUUGGGACUGAGAUACGGCCCAGACUCCUACGGGAGGCAACAGUGGGGAAUAUUGCACAAUGGGCGGAAGCAGGAUGCAGCAACGCCGCGUGCGGGAUGACGGCCUUCGGGUUGUAAACAGCUUUCGCCUGUGACGAAGCGUGAGUGACGGUAAUGGGUAAAGAAGCACCGGCUAACUACGU
rnacentral:rRNA from 1 species